rnacentral:lncRNA from 1 species
AAAGAUUCAACCUAGCCAUGAUCAAAUGACUAGUACGGAUUAACAGAAAGGAGAACAAAGGUGUUGGCAUUUGUAGGUUGGCUCCAGUAAGUUCCAAGGGCCAGCAACUAAAUGUGAACUCUGAUUCUUUCCUGGCUUCUCUGCAUUGUUUGGAAUUAGAAUUGCCUAAAUACCAUGAGUAAUAUGGAAGUUCUCCGAAGGGGUCCCUGAACUAGUCCUCAGGGACUCUGGAGCUGAUUAGGUUUGCCUGUGCCCAUAGGAACAUAGACAGAAUCGCCACCUUUGACUAUUCCUUCCUCAUUCACCCAAGGGAUCCAUAUCCCUUCCAUCCACUGUAUGGAAACAACAUACAGCUCCUGCUUUUCUCCAAGGUAUGCCUCUUCCCCAUAGAAAUUCUGUUUUGUUUCAUCUUAUGGUUUUUCAGGUCAGGGAAAAGUCGGUAAAAUACCUAUAUUCUUUGGGUUUAUGGUUCAUUUGAAGUAUUGUGCCUCAUUUGCUUGGUCUCUUCAAGAAAUUGCUCUGCGAAUGCCUUAUCAGCUUCACUCUCCACAGCACGUAAACCAGUGACUUGGGGCUAUUCCCUCCAGUGAGGCACCCUCCAGCCCCCGCUAGCUUUUUUUCCUUUCUUUUCUUUGUGUGUGUGUGGGGGGGGGGGGGAAGGGGGGUGAAAUCAAACUUAGACUUUCCUUGAAGUUUUGAUAACAUU